GGACCACUCAGCUCCUGUCAGGAGUGUGGGGCUGAGCAGGCCUCUGGGGGCUAAUGACCAGGGAGAGGCGGGCCCCAGGGGCUUUCUGCUGCUUCUCCCCGAGUGGGACACCUUCCCAGAGCUGGUGGGCCCUCCGCACGUUAGGGGCCUGGCCAGCGCUGGGGUGAACUUGCCGCUGCUUGUUGGAUGCUUCCAGGGCAUGCAGCAGCUUCUCCCACCACCCAGCCCUGUGCCGUGGGCAGGAGCCAUCGUGGGCUCCUUCUACAGAUGAGGAAACUGAGGCUUCGAGAAGCAGCGAGGCCUGUGCUACAGGGCAGAACACUGUUUUGAGCCCCCAGCUCUCCUGACAUUUGGAGGAAUCGGCUGGGGGCCGACCCUGGGCAGUGCAGCCGAGGGUGAAUCUGACAGGAUCCUGCUGUCCCCCAAGUCCUGAGGCCCGGCGGGUGCUGUUCUGGUUCUUGGCCCCUCUUGCAGGGCCUGUCCUCGGCUUCAGUCCCCGGGGGCCAGCAGGGAGGGUGGGGUGGGACAGACCUGGUCCUGAUGAGGCUGCAGCUUUCCUGCCCACCAGGCUGAGUCAGGGCUGGCGGGAGGCACGGGGCGGCAGCUUUCCCAGGGCCAGCCCGGGCGGCGGCCACAUUCCUCGCGAGAGGGUGCGUCUGGGCUUGGCCAAGCCAGGUGUGCUGUGCCCUGCCCAGGCGCCUGCCUGCCCCAGAGCCAGCUCAGCACCACGGCCUUGUAAGGAACAUGUCUGGCAGCUGCUUGGCACAAGGUGUGGGAACUGCUUGCCUUGCACUUCCUUGCUGGGUGGGGUGCUGGCUGUGGGGGGCAGCCCGCUGGAGCCCCAGCCCCCACACUGGCCUGGGAAAUUGGGGUGCCUGCUGUUCACCCCCUACGCACACCCUUCUUUACCUCUGCACUUGGGCAGCUGGAGGCUGAGGCUCAAGACAGUCUGUGGUGUGGGCCUUGGGCUUUGCUCCUUGCUCAGCAGAUUCUGGGGGAACAGUGAGGGGUGUUCUGAGAGUUGGGGGUGGGCAAGGGCCCCUCGAAGGCCCAGAAGCAGCAGGGGGCCUGCUUUGUUUGCUGCCCCAUCUCUUGCGGAGGCCUCUGUCCUCACCAGCUGGGAGCUCUGGGUGCCGGCUGGGAGUCUGGGGCAGAGGCUCUGAGUCGGGGGCCUGUGCACAUGCCGUGCACCUGCCUGGGAGCCCAGCAUCCACCUGUGAGCCCUGUGUGUACAGGUCCCUGCUCAGAGCCCUUCCUGUGCCCCCAGGCCCUGCUUCUCCACACCCCUGCUGGGCUCCCUGCGUUGGCACUGGGGCUGGGAGUGACCCAUGCAGGGGUCAAACAGUUCCGGCCACUCACUUGUGAAAUUCUGCUCAUAAUUCACCUCCUCUCACUGGGCCUCAUUUCCUCCCCGUAAAAGGAGGAUGAGGCCACUGGGUUCUUGGUGGAUGGACUAUGACUUGAGAUGGAGGCUUUGGGACUUUGGGGCCAUGCCUUCCCCAUCUGGGGAACCCCAGCCCAGCCCAGCUCUGCAGCUUACCAGCCCGUCUGUGGUCAGGCCAGGCCUGGCAGGGGUCAGGAGGGAACCUCAAGUCUGGGAUAUGGGGCCCCUACCCACUGCCCACCCUCUUCCUCGGAGCACUUCCAGGGUAGGGUAGCAUUUCAGUCCCUCCCGUGAAUGGCCGAGGGGCAUCCCCUUGUCUGCCCGUCACCCCCCAUCUGUGGCCUCAGCAGUUUUGAGCUCAGCCUGUGGGCUGGGCCGGUACCCUCUGUCACGUUCCUGCAGCAGGGCCUGGCUGUGCUUUGGCGGGCCCAGGGCAGCAGGAAUCAGUUCCCAGGCCUUGGUGGGAAAAAUGGGCCCUGGCCCUGGGCCCAGGCUGGGUGUGGGAAUUCUGUCCUGCAUGGACGGUCAGGAUGGGUGACACCAGGACUAUGGGAAGAGAAGCUGACAGAUGAGCCUGUGAGGGGUAGUAGGCUGAGCCGCAGUCAUCCACACAGCCCGGUUGAGGGUUGGGUGGGGGGUGGACCCCAGCUGGCCCAUGACUGAGCAGUGGUGGGAAGACUGGCUGGACAUAUAUCAGGCUGGGGCAGGGACCCCUCAGUUCUCCCGUCCCUAGCCUUCCUCUGUCUGAGCCCUAGGGCUGGCAUUCUGGGGUGACCCAAUUCCCAGGGACCCUCUAGGGACUUUGGCUGCCAUCCCCCCUCCCCUGUCUAAGGCCUUAUGACAAGUGGGCAGCACCUUGUCUAGGGGGUGGUACUGUUUGCAGUAGACGGAAGGGCCUAGGCCCCUUGAAAGCUCCACUCUCUGUCCUGGUGUCCUGGGGCUAAGGACGGUUCAGUGGUGUGUGUGUGUGUGUACACCUGUCUGCAUGCAUGUGUAUGUGUUGUGGGGAGGCAGUUGUCCCAGUGGAAGUGGGCUUUUGGACAUUUAGAUCAGGGUCUCUGUAGUUGCAUUCUGCGCCCUGAAGGAUUCUGGGAGUUGGCACUAAGAGCCAGGCCCAGAGCAGCCUGGGAAAUCAUGGGAACUGGUGAGAACAGGCUGGAAGGGUGUGGCUGCAGCAGCUGGAAUGUGUAGGCAGGACCAGCCUUACCUCCCUUAUUCAGGAAUGGGCUUUGGCUGGGGAGCCAGGACCCAGCACCUUCCCUGAGCUGUCCUGGCUCUGCUCUCCCAGGCCUCCAGACCCCAGCUGCACUCCAUUGGUGUACCCCCAAACCCCUCACUCCAUGCUGGGCUAGAGCUAGCAGCCUGGCUGGGGUGGGGGGCAGGGUGCCCUUUGGGAGAAGCUGGCAGCUUUUCCUAAAGAUUCCUGGGUUCUUGGUGCUCUGUAUUUGUUUCUAACCCUUUGCACAGACCAACCCUCUGUUACUCAUGGGGGACUCAUUCUGACGAGUUAAGGGAGCACAUGACUGCACCUGUUGGGGGUUCCCUGGACUGCGGAUUGGGUUUCCAGGCUCUCUGUACCCCUGGGAGGAGGGCUGAGGGCACCCACCAGUCCUGGAGUUUCUGGGCACUUGCUGUUGUCUCUGCAGAGCGGCUCUGUCCUCUCCUGUUCUGUUUGGUUGAUUAAGGCACACUGGCCCCUGCCAGCCUCUCCAGGCCCAGCUCUUGUCUCUGCCUCCCCAGCCAACUCUCCUUGCCAGGUAGGCGAGGGCCCCUUGAAGGGCCGGAAGCAGCAGGGGGCCUGCUUUGUUUGCUGCCCCAUCUCUUGCAGAGGCCUCUGUCCUCACCAGCUGGGAGCUCCCGGUGCCGGAUGAGAGUCUGGGGCAGAGGCUCUGAGUUGAGGGCCUGUGCACAUGCCACGCGCCUGCCCAGGAGCCCAGCGUCCACCUGUGAGCUCUGUGUGUACAGGUCCCUGCUCAGAGUCCUUCCUCAGCUGUCCUGCUCCUCAGGCUAUGCUGAGGCCCCUGCAAGGUGCAUACUCAGCCCCAUCUGCUCAGGCAUCUUGCAAGGCCCAGGGGCCUCCUCUGAGCUUCCCAAGAUCAGGGCCUGCUGUGUCCCUGUCAUGUCCCCAGGCCCUCCCUUGUGUAGUCAGGGAGAGAAUGAACUAACGAAUGGGUGCAGGAAAUCUGGGGAGUUCCUCUGCAUUUGGACUUGCAAAGGGCUGUCACAUGACCCUGGCCCGGCUUUUGCUUCCUCCAGUCUGAGGAAAAGCCUCCCUCUAACCUUGGGGUUGGGGUCUCCUGGAAGAUUCCAGAGAUCUGUCUUGAGGUCAAGGAGAGCCAAGUUCCUUCCCACCAGGACUCAAGGUUAAUAGCUAGUGUGUGAGUGGCAAUGGCUGCUUUGUGUGAAUGAGAGCGUAAAGUGUGGGCAGUGAGAGGCUGUGUGAAGGUGCACAAGUGUGCAAGAGUGUGCCUGUGUGUGAAAGUGUGAGUCUGUGAAUGAGUAUUAGUGAGGCUGUGCAAGUCUGUAUGAAUGUGUGAGUAUGGAUAUGAGGGAGUGUGAGUGUGUAUGGGCUUGUGAAUGUGAGGGUGUGUAAGCCUGUGGGUGGGAAUGCGUGUGAGUCUGUGUGAAUGUGCAUGUGAGUGGAUUGUGAGUAUGAGAGUCUGUCAAUGUGUAGUAAUGUGUGUGAGGGUGUAUGAGUCUAUGAAUGCAUGUGUACAUCUGUGAUUAUGAAUGUGUGAGUCUAUGAGUGUAUGCGAGUGUGAUUCAGUGAGAGCUGUGGCUAAGUGUGUGAAUGUGGGCAUCUGAGCGCGUGUAUAUGAGUGUGUAAGAGUAUGAAUGACUGAGUGUAUUACUUGUGAGACUGUGAAUGGGAGAGUGUGAAUGUGUGUGAGCGCCAUGUAAAUGUGUGAGUGUGUACGAGUCUAGGAGUGUGUGAAUAUGUCAGUCUGAGAGCAGGUGACUACGUGCAUGUGAUUCCGUGUGAAUGCCUGUGAGCUGUGUAUGAGUCUGAGACUGUGUGAAUGUGCAUGUGAGCUGUGCAUAGAUGUGUGGCUUAUCUAGGAGGGAGGGUGGCAGGGGGCCCAGGGCAGAAGACGCUGGGCUCUGCCUUCCUCAGGGCCAUGGUCGACCCCAGUCAGGGAAGCUCAGAGCCCUCGCAGGAGUUCUGGCCCACUUAGGGAGCUGGGAGGCUCACUUUUCCCCAGAGGAGGUUACUUCGAGGGGUGAGUGGUCUUUCCCUGUUCUAGAGAGAGCUCAGAGGCCAUUUUUUAUUUAAAGAAAGUAAUAAUGAGUAGAUUUAAAAUAAUACCUACAAAACGUGGGCAGGAUUUAAGAAUUAAGAUACAACAAACACCCGUGAACCCGCCACCCAAUUUUAGAAACUUUGAGGAGUGCCCCUUCCCAUGCCGGUCCUCCACCCCACAGUGUACGAAGCACUAGCCUGGGUUUUGGGUUGUUAUUCCCUUGCUUUCACUGUAGAUCUGAAGGCACUCUGGGCGCUGAGCCUUCUGUGCUCCGGAGCCCACGAGGCCCGGACUCCGCCCGCUGGGCCAAAGAAGCUCAGUGCUGCCCUCUGGGGGUAACGGAUAGAGGCUGCCCCAGCUCAGAGCCAGCCGGCAGCCUGGGUGAGGCGCCCCACCCAGGUCACCCAGCAGCGACCCCAUAGAUGUGGACACAUGUGCUGUAGGACAUGUAGCACGCCUGGACGCAGAUGCGUACACUGGCCACUCGCAAGGAUUUGCACAUAGACGCAUGGAGUGGGCGCCGUACUCUGGGGCAUCCCAACAGGAGUGAGCCGACAGCAGCUGCUGUCCCCAGGAGUCGGCGGCGGCAGGGAGGGCUGGUCUCCGCGGAGUGGAGAGUGCCCUCCCUUAGAGAACCUCACGCCCAGGGCUGGGGGAAGCUGGGUAGGCAUGUUGACUUUGGGGAGAGCAGUUUAGUAGAACGACCUAUGGUGGGAGGCGCAGGAGGGCUUUGCGCUGGAGGCAGGGAAGGAUUUUUUUGUUUUGUUUUUUUGAGAUGGAGAAGAAAGAAGAGGCAUGACAAAAUGCACAGGCUGGCUUCAGAAAAGAAUUCCAAGUUCUUGAGAAAUUUCAUGGCCUAGAGGCAGGGGAAUGGAUACAAUGGCCCAGCCUGGGCCUUUGUUGUUACGGGGUCAUGGGACUAGAGGAGCAGGAGCUGAAUGUAGCGAGGAGCCGGGGCCCGCGUGGCGCGCAGGUGACGGAUGUCUGGAGUCCCCGGGUUUCUCCCUCAGCCUCAGGCGCAGGAGAGGAGCACAGGUGCGUAGCCUCGAAUGGUCAGCAGAGGGCGCUCCUGGUACAGAUUUGAGGCUCCAGCCUGUUGUCUCCUAGGAUCGUUCUUGGAAAGCACCGGGGCCUGGACUCCCGAUGGAAGCAUUCUGGAUUCCCCUUUGGGAGCUAUAAGCCCGGGCCUGAGAAGACAUGCCUUAUGAGGUAGUGAGCUCGAAAUGACCCCCAGAAAUGUGACCAGCCUCGUUGGCCUUCCUCUGGUGGCUGUGAUCUGUCCGGGUUAGCCAGUCUUUCUGGAGAGUUCCCGAGGGUCCCAGUCUCUGGAUCGGCCUCUGCAGUCUACCUGGUGACCUUACUGGCUUCCUGGUUCCCUGGCUCACCCUAGGUGGAGGACUUCCUCGGGUCUGGCAGGGCCCCUCGGCCUGUCAUACCCCAGGAGCCCUGGGAGUCCAGAGCUCCAAGGACCAGGGGCAGCUCCUUGUCUUCUGCUAUAGGUUGGUGGCCAGGACACAGCCAGGUCCUGCCAGCUCAGAUGAGGUGCGGACAGCCACAACUCCUUGGCGGGGCCAGGGUGGCUGCGGAGGAGAAAUUCCCUUCAGCUGUGAUGCCUCCUUCCCCCUCCUGAUGUCGCCAUGCAGGCAGAGGCACCUUGCACUCAGGAUUCCCUCAUGCACUCAUUUUUACAGUUAUUGGGCAGCAUUUCCAUGCCGUCUGUGGGGACAGAGGGAAGAAGGAGGCGGGAUCCUGGCCCAUGUCUACAGGAGGAGACACACCAUGUCAACAGGAAAUCCUCUGUUUGGAAGAAAACACUACAAUGGAAGACCAAUGGCCAAAAAUGCAUUUGCAACCCUUGUGCCAAAGGCCUUGUUGGCACAUUUACCAAAAGCCCACAGAAGUCAGGAAGGAAACCUGAUGCCACAAAGGAGGUAAAGAGGAACAGCUGGUUCAUAAGAAAGAAGAAAGAAAAGGAGGGGCCAAAACAUGCAGGGAUGGGUGGUCCAUCUCACAUGAUUAAAGAAAUGGAACCUGAAGCAAGACAGAGGACUUUUCUAUGACCAAAAAGAUGAAAAUUGGAAAACCACGAUAGCAACAGAUGAGCCUUCAGACCUCAGUGAGACCCACUGUGGUGGGCCUGUUGGGGGACAGUUACUCUCACUCAGGGUUGGUGGGAGUGAAACUUCGUAGCACGUUUCAGGAAGUCUUGAAAUUUUCACUGUUGGAAAAUUCAAAUAUGCACACAAGUAGAGAGAACGGCAAAACAGACUCCUGGUACCCAUCAUCCCAUUUCUGUAGCUGUCAACAUGCUGCCAUCCCUGUUCCUUGUUGGGGAGGUUACAGUAUUUUAAAGCGAACCCCAGAUUUCAUUUCAUUUUACUCUGGAAGAAAAUUUGGCAAUAGCUGUCAAAGGAAAAAGUGGAUUUACCUUUUAACUUAGCAAUCCCACUGCUAAAUUUUCCUCUAAGGAGAUAUUUGCAAAAGUUCUCUGCGCUGUGUGUUCAGGGAGGUUUAUUUCACUGCUGUUUGUAAAAGUGGAAAACUCGAGACUGGAGAGGUGGUUGGUAGGGACAGGAGUAAAUAAAUUAGAGCUUAUGGUCAUAAUGAAUUAAAAAGAAUGAGGUGGCUCUCCAAGAGGUAUGAUUAACUGGGAAAUUGAGGCAUUGACCAGAUCGAGAAUAUCUCUUUUGUAUAAUUAAAAUCUCUAUAAAAGACAUUAAAAGUCAAAACACAACACAGCAAUGUUUGGAUGACUCUCUGCUGCUACAGGAUAAAGUC